rnacentral:rRNA from 1 species
UGGGGAAGUUUUCCGUCAAUGGGCGAAAGCCUGACGGAGCAAUGCCGCGUGGAGGUGGAAGGCCUACGGGUCGUCAACUUCUUUUCUUCGGAGAAGAAACAAUGACGGUAUCUGAGGAAUAAGCAUCGGCUAACUCUGUGCAG